rnacentral:rRNA from 1 species
UACGUAGGGUGCAAGCGUUAGGCGGAAUCACUGGGCUUAAAGCGUGUGUAGGCGGAUCGGUAAGUACCUUGUGAAAUCCCACAGCUUAACUGUGGAACUGCUUGGUAUACUGCCAGUCUUGAGCCAGCUAGGGGCUACCGGAACAAAUGGUGGAGCGGUGAAAUGCGUAGAUAUCAUUUGGAACGCCAAUGGUGAAAACAGGUAGCUGGGGCUGUGCUGACGCUGAGACACGAAAGCCAGGGGAGCGAACGGG